AUACGUAGGUGGCAAGCGUUGUCCGGAAUUACUGGGUGUAAAGGGCGUGUAGGCGGGGAUGCAAGUCAGAUGUGAAAUUCCGGGGCUCAACCCCGGCACUGCAUCUGAAACUGUGUCUCUUGAGUGCUGGAGAGGAAAGCGGAAUUCCUAGUGUAGCGGUGAAAUGCGUAGAUAUUAGGAGGAACACCAGUGGCGAAGGCGGCUUUCUGUACGAGAACUGACGCGGAGGCGCGAAAGCGUGGGUAGCGAACAGGAUUAGAUACCCUGGUAGUCCACGCCGUAAACGAUGGAUACUAGGUGUAGGAGGUAUCGACCCCUUCUGUGCCGGAGUUAACACAAUAAGUAUCCCACCUGGGGAGUACGGCCGCAAGGUUGAAACUUAAAGGAAUUGACGGGG
rnacentral:rRNA from 1 species